UCAGCAGAGCUAGAAGGGAGGCAGCUCUUUAACGUUUUUGUACUAAAUGAACUAUUGUAGUCUUUUAAAACAGUUAUUGAUCAAUUGAAGAGAGUCCCUGUACCAAAACAUGUCUUAAAAGACGUAUUUAAAGCAUUAGGUUCAUUCUCAAAUACGUUUCAUUCUCAAAUACGUUUCAUUAUGGAUAUUUGGGAUCCAAAUCCUUACUCAGUAACACCAGCAGCAAAGAUCCUGGCGAGAUGUGUCACCUCUGGUACAAUGUCUCAGAAAGAGCUUGAUGCUGUGGCACGAGAGCCAGAGGUCUUUUCCUCACGUCUGCUGGAAACUGAGCAGCUUAACAGGAUCAAGCAUGAAAUAGACCAGGUGAGCUUGGAUUUGGAGCUGUUAAGACUUGAGAAAAACAGUGCAGACGUUACUCAUAAUUACCAUCUCACUCAGCGGUUUGCAUCCAUACAGCAGUUUACAUCUCACCUUCAGGAGGUGCUGAGAGUACAGACAAGUUUACGCCAAAGACUGAUGAAACCUCUCUGUCAGCAGAACCUGCCUAUUCAGGCUGAUUUUCAUAGGUAUGUGGUUGAGCUCAUGGCUAUGGUGGUGGAGUUCAUUGAGAAUUUAGAAAGGAAAGUGGAGAUGGUUCGCUCAAUUCCAACCACAGAUGAAUCUUUAAGUAAUCUGAGCAAUGCCAUGACUCAACUCUUGGCUCAUGUCACAGAGGUGGAGAGUCUAAUCAAGCAAGUCCUUCAGCGGCCUGGGCAAGCAAAGGACAUUAGUAAACCAGUGUGUAGCUAAAAGUGUCAUUGAGAGCAGAGAGAAGAGACGGCAGCAGUUCUUGUACUGGAUCCACCUCACAGUUACGACCAAACUGAACUAACCAUACAACAGUGAUGGGUCCAAAUAUUUUGGAAGAAAGAUUUCCAGUUCCCUGUGCUGCCUUUGCACUAACUCUGAUGGACUACAGUUUUUCAAGGCCAGUACAAACACCCCCUCCGACACAUGUUUAGUCACCAGCUGCUUCUUUUUACUUGCCAGCGUUGGGUUCUCACACAGUCAUAUCUCAUACGGAGAGCCAUGCUAUGCUUCAUGUGACUUCCCACCCACUCACACAGGCACCCUGACCAGCCCCAAAGACGUGUUGCAGUGGAAGCGGAAAUAGACUCCAAACUUCCCUCCAUCAAACAUGGUGUUUAUGUGGUUGUUCAUAACUUAAAAAAGCCUUGUUUAGCAAUGUGCAGUAGCUGCUACAACACCUUACUAUGUUAUUAGAAUACAUUUAGAAAUAAAUAAGAAAGUUCCUGAAAUAUAUCAAUCCUA